rnacentral:rRNA from 1 species
AUUGAACGCUGGCGGCAUGCUUUACACAUGCAAGUCGAACGGCAGCACGGACUUCGGUCUGGUGGCGAGUGGCGAACGGGUGAGUAAUACAUCGGAACGUGCCCAGUUGUGGGGGAUAACUACUCGAAAGAGUAGCUAAUACCGCAUGAGAACUGAGGUUGAAAGCAGGGGAUCGUAAGACCUUGCGCAACUGGAGCGGCCGAUGGCAGAUUAGGUAGUUGGUGGGAUAAAAGCUUACCAAGCCGACGAUCUGUAGCUGGUCUGAGAGGACGACCAGCCACACUGGGACUGAGACACGGCCCAGACUCCUGCGGGAGGCAGCAGUGGGGAAUUUUGGACAAUGGGCGAAAGCCUGAUCCAGCAAUGCCGCGUGCAGGAUGAAGGCCUUCGGGUUGUAAACUGCUUUUGUACGGAACGAAAAGCUUCGGGUUAAUACCCUGGAGUCAUGACGGUACCGUAAGAAUAAGCACCGGCUAACUACGUGCCAGCAGCCGCAGUAAAAC